rnacentral:rRNA from 1 species
UUUGUAUAAUGGGUCAGCGACUUAUAUUCAGUGGCAAGGUUAACCAUCUAGGGGAGCCGUAGGGAAACCGAGUCUUAACUGGGCGUUCAGUCUCUGGAUAUAGACCCGAAACCAGGUGAUCUAGCCAUGGGCAGGUUGAAGGUUGAGUAACAUCAACUGGAGGACCGAACCGACUAAUGUUGAAAAAUUAGCGGAUGACUUGUGGCUAGGGGUGAAAGGCCAAUCAAACCUGGAGAUAGCUGGUUCUCCCCGAAAGCUAUUUAGGUAGCGCCUCGGACGAAUACUACUGGGGGUAGAGCACUGUUAAGGCUAGGGGGUCAUCCCGACUUACCAACCCUUUGCAAACUCCGAAUACCAGUAAGUACUAUCCGGGAGACACACGGCGGGUGCUAACGUCCGUCGUGGAGAGGGAAACAACCCAGACCGCCAGCUAAGGUCCCAAAUUACUACUAAGUGGGAAACGAUGUGGGAAGGCUCAGACAGCCAGGAUGUUGGCUUAGAAGCAGCCAUCAUUUAAAGAAAGCGUAAUAGCUCACUGGUCGAGUCGGCCUGCGCGGAAGAUGUAACGGGGCUAAGUAGUAAACCGAAGCUGCGGC